AAAGAGAAUGUGAAUACAUUUUCAAAGCCCUCACUCUCCAGCUCAAAGUACAAUCCUCUUUUGAUCACAAGUAUAGUUAACACCAUGUAGUUUUACCCAAGGGAGGUUUGGUUGAUAUACCAACAAGGUGUUAAACUUGUUUUCUUAAAACACUACUUAUAUCCCUGUGUUGCAGUGGAGAAAGGGGAUAGUCUAACCAAAGUGGUUUAUGAAUUCUCAUAGCCCUGCACCUCACUAGAUAAUAUGAUGCUCACUCUACGCUUCUUCCCCACUUUGAAGAUUCUGAAGGAUUCUCAGGAAUGAAAAACUUUUUAGUUAUGGAAUUCAAUGGUAAGUAAGUAAAAGGUAAGUGAACAUUAGCUCUAGGGAAGUAACUAAUUCUCCCUCUCAGUUCCCAUUGAUAUGCCAGGCUAACCACACGGGAGAAAUUAACAAUCAAACAGAAGAAAAAUACCAAAGAAAUAUAAAACAAGUAUUUAGACCAUUUGCCUUUGGGAGUCAAGGAAUAAAGAACAUAUUCAUUUGUUUUUUUGAGAUUCAACUAAAGUUUCAUAGCAAGAAAAGACAAGUGUCACCAAAAGUAAAACUGUGACUGAGAUUACAGCCACCAUAAAACUGACAAACCUGGAAUAGUGGGUGUCUUUCAGGAAUAAGGACUAAGACAGAAUGCAUAAUGCAAUGAGCCUUAAACCAGAAAGGGAGGGAUCAUGUGCCUUCAAAGAACAUCAAUAGCUGGGAAAUCGAUCACUAAGCCACACGUACUUGCAAAAACAGCAGAGACACAGACACAAACACUUAUUGGGUGCAGAGCAUGAUGAUGUAUGAGCAACUGGCUUCUCAUAUAUUAGAAUGCACCUAGGUUUACUGAAGUGGGGAAAUCCUCGAGAGGAAUUUUGGACUUCAUGCUCUCCUGAACAUAUGGUCAUUCAAGCAAUUAAUUUGAAUAUUGUCUUAGUACAUUCAGGCAGCCAUAACAAAAUACCAUACACUGGGUGGCUUAUAAACAACAGAAUUUUGUUCCUCAUAGUUAUGGAGUCUGAAGUCUAAGAGCAAGGCACCAGCAGAUUUGGUGUCUGGUGGGGGGACUCUUUCUGGUUCACAGAUGGCACCUUAUCGUUUUUGUCUUCACAUGCUAGAAAGGACCAGCUCUGCGGUCUCUUGUACAAGGGCGUGAAAGCCCAUUCAUGGGGGCUCCAUCAUCAUGACCUAAUCACCUCCCAAAGAUGCUGCCUUCUAAUAUCACUGUGAGGAUUAUAAUUUUAAGAGAUGCAUUUUGGAAAUCACAAACAUUCAAACCACAGCAAAUAGAUAGAUUCUCAUAUAUGUCAUAAGCUUAUAAAGUGAAUAUAGAAUGCGAUCUGUUAUUUCUCAAAUUUUUUCCCUUGCAAGAAAUAUUUCAGACUUCAUGUUACAACAUCUGUAACACUCAUGUUACAAUAUCUAUAAUUUCUUUUUAAGAUGGGAUCAUGGUAUGUUGCCCAGGCAGGUCCUGAACUCAUGAGCUUAAAUAGUCCUCCCAUUUUAACCUCCCAAAUAGCUGGGAUUAUAGGCAUGCACCACUAUACCUGGCAAUAUCAGUAAUUUCUAUAGUUUUUAAUUCAUUUUUGUUAAACCAUUGAAGCCUUUUGUUAAAGUGCAAAUGUUAUCUAAGUUAGUGGUUGAAACUAAGAUGGUUAAAUGAAUAAUAUAGACAGAAAGAGAUAGCAAAUUCUAAUAUAGUCAAUUCGUUGCAAAACGAAGCUAUAGUUAUCUUAAGUAGGAAGUAGAAACAAGUUUUUAAAAUCCAUUAUUGAACUGAUAAACUGAAGGUAGAGUAAUCAAAUCUGAGAAAUUCAGAGAAAGGAUUUUGUCUUCUAGCCUAGUCUGUAUCUUUUGUAGUAAUACACUUGUCCGCAGAAGGAUUUCUGCAAUUGUAUUAUGGAGCAAAUAUACUGAGAGUAAAAACCAAAAAAGAAAGCCUCAGUUCAUAAAUGGGGUCAUGGUGUGAGUUCCUAGAUUCUGUGGAAAAUGAUUGGGAAUGUCAGCUAUUUAGGAGAUUGAGGCACAAGAAUCACUUGAACUCGGGAAGCGAAGAUUGCAAGGAGCCGAGAUCCUGCCACUGCACUCUAGCCAUGGCAAGAAAGUGAGACUCUGUCUUGAAAAACAAAACAAAACAAAAACAAAAAACAAACAAAAAAACUGAUUAAGAAUGCAGCCCAGUGGUGGAGUGAGUACGUUAGAUGGACUGAAAGAUUAAAAGGAGGAAAAUGUACAGAAAAUCAAUGGAUAAUACAAUCUUUUCUUUUUGGCAUCUUUGCCCAAUCAGUGACCACAAAACAACUUUGUUUUCUCAGAUAGCAUGGAGGAAGAAUAUCUGCAUAUUUUGUGCCUACUUAAUCACCAGAAAAUACUGUUCAUCCAAACAGUUCAGAUUCUAGUCAAACUGGUAGCAACACUUUAAAAAUAUUGGCUGUAAGGGAAAUAACAACUUAUUUCACCAAAACCAUCUUUAUUUGAUUAAAUUGACUUUCUAAACAACUUCUGAGGUUUCAAACCUCUGAGACAGAAAAAUAUUAAUGGGAUCUUGGUCACUUUCACAACCUAGCUACACUUUGAAAAAGUAGAGCUUUUAAAAAAUACUGGUGCCUGAGCUCCAUUCUAGAUCAAGUAAAUGCAAAUAUUCAGGAAAAAUUCUGAGCCUCGGUGUUAAAACAAGUCUCCCCAGGUGAUUUGUAAUGAGAAGCACUGACUUGAAGAGCGUUGUUGCCUGCAUCCAUUUUAACCUUAACAUAUCUGUAUUUUCACGGGGAUAUAUAGCUGAUUUUUCAAGUUUCUGUUUCCCUGAGAUCUGAUGGGAUUGUUUCAAGGUGUGAUAGGUCAUAUUAUUUUACCACAAUUCUACCUUUACCAUUGCUACAUUCCCUUGCUAUAGCUUCCCUGUUGGCACAGUAUACUUUUCCACACUAUUGAUUUCAGAUAUGGCCAUAUGACUUAGUUUGAUGGAAUGCGGAAGUGAUAAAUUGUGCCAGUUUUGAUCUAAGGCCUUAAGAGGCACGGCAGUGUCCACCAAUACUCAGGGAGCUUACUCUCUCCAUGCAAAGAGCAGCCCCAGGUAGGCAUUGAUCUUUCAGCCUGAAUACAGGAAUGAAGCUAUAUGGAGGAAAAAUAUAACCCCAAAUCAGUAGUCCAGCCUGGUCCAGCUAAGUCAAUCUGAGUCUGACUGAUAGCUGCAAAACUGUAGCUCACCUACAAUUCUAUGAAUCUGAAAUAAGCUUAAUUUCUUAAAUUCUUUGAAAUUUUGGAGUUUUAUUUUUAAUUCAGCAUUAUUACAGGGGAAAAAUAACCAACACACAAGUAUUUGUAAGUAAUCUGCAUCAAGCAAUGUCUAAUAAUAGGUAUUAAAUAAGUAUUUAAGUUAAUUUGCUUUUAUGGAAGGUUGCUUUACAUUUACUAACAAUAAAAAAAAUGGAAUCACCAGAUUUCAAAGUGUUUAAAUUUAGGUUCAAUGAUAUUAAAAAUAACUCAGUGACCAUUAGAAUUUAAGUGGAUUAAACAGAUUGUAUCUCUAUGGAAUGUUAGUUAUUCUGUUCAUUUUUGAAAAGGAUAUUAGUGAAUAUGCUUAAAAUUGCUUUUUCCAGUAGCCAAAUGGAUCAGGUUUUCAUCCAGAUGGUUUUAUGGGAAGCAUGUGUCUGCUCAGCUAAUGCAUGUUUAUGAGGAUCAAACUUUUGUACUGAUUUGGAAAUAUUACUUGUACUACUGGGAUAUUGUUAAAAUUUUUGGCUAAGAUUAAGAUAAUUGAUUUUAUUAUAUAGAAAUCUGUGUAUUACAUCACUGAGAUAUAUUUUAUCAUAAAUGCUUAAAAUUAUUCAUAGCAAUAAACAACACUUCCUGAGCAAUAACUGAGUCAAGAUGAAGAAUUAUGAGCAGAAAUCUUUGAAAACUCAUUUGAAAUGCUAACCCUUUGUGAUGCAUAAGGAAGUUACAGAGAAUUAAACAAGCAAUCACAGAAACCUCUGAAAGAAAGAAAAUCCUAGUUAGAAAGCAAGAUGUCUUAAUCCCAAUUAAACUGUCUUUUUGAAGUUCUCCUUGCCUUGAUAAAACAUUGUUAUUCACUUUAUAAAGUGUUUUAGUUAUAUUUAAUGUAACCCCUUUGUUUUCAAAGCUGUUUUCUUAACUUCUUCCUUACAAUAAAGAUAAAUUAUUUUUAUACUGCUCUUUGAUGAUCCAUCAGUGAUUGCUGAGGGAUUUAUAUAUAUAAAGUAGAGGUACUGAAGAAAUGAUCUUUACAUUAUGGGUAAAGCAAGAUGUAAUUAUGUUGUCACUUAUAUUUUGAGACUUCUUAAAAGAAUGCAUUAGAUAAAUGCAGAGAAAACCUGUUUUUAAACUCUGAGACUGACAUUCAUUAGUGAUGUUAUUUACAGCAAAGGGAAAAAUAACAUUGCAGAAUAAUAUAUGAAAUGCAAUGCUCACACAAAUUGCCCUCAGUGUCCAGUGUGAAAGUAUUAAUUUUACAGUAUCUUGGGGACCAGGCUGAUGCUCCACACAUAAUCCACAGUGUCACAAAUGUCCUUAGUAAACCACACUCCCAGUUGAAAACCCAUCACACCUAAUAUAGCAGAAUGUCACUCAGUGCUCACUGGGUUGCCAAAAAGUGCUAGCAGGGUUACCACUAUAUCACCUACCUUCCCCUGAGAUGGGAGAAAGUAGACAAUUCAAAUUAGGUGUAAAGGAAAGCAGGAAGUAUAUAGUACAUUUUGAUUCCAGUUAUUUUGUUUGAAUCUAUGGGACAUGUUGACUAAAAUCUCAUUCCAUUCAUUAAUACGGUCCUGCUGUUGAUAAAUGUGAGACUUUUAAAUCAUAUUAAUUAGGAUGCUAAGAUUAUCCUGCAGUCAAUAAGUAGUGGUUUAUGACUAAAUGUUACAUUGCAAUCAUUUACUCAAAUUCCCAUAUUUUCUUUCACUUACAUCCAUGGAUUGUAUACAGAUCUAUGGCAAAUAUGUGCCCAGUUUAAAUGCUCACAAAUAUUAUAACACCAGGAAAAGAAUCUGUCAGUAAGAAAUAUAGGUUUAAUGAGAAAAAGUCCUAAGUCCAAAGGGGAAGGCAAAGUCUGUUCUGAACUUUAGGCAGCCCAGAGACAACAAGACACAAGGAAAUACUACUGAUAAGAUGCACCUUCUUUUAAGAAAGUACAGCCAGACUUUUGUCCUUUUUGGGAGACGGAAACUCUUAAAACUUUUGAAUCAUGGGUUAGUUCAAUGAAGAGACAAUCUCAGAAUUCCUGAUGUAGUAAAGGUAAGAUAUGAGGCAAAAAAAAAAAAAAAAAAAAGUUGUAGCACCAAAGAAAGGUUUAUGGAAACCAGUUGUGUUACUAAGAAAUGAAAGAACCUCAGGCCGUAACUCACAUCUAGUCAAAGACAUUGCCAAAAUUUAAAAGAAAAGUAGUAAGUAGAAGAAAGAGGUGCUUAAAGGAGAAAAGUGGACAAGUAUAAUACUAUUUAUAGAACAUACAUUACUUGCAGGGCACUUAUAUGUAUGUUGCAAGGUAACUUUUAAAGUUUGAAUUUCCAUUUUUCAAUGAUGUAGUGCUUCAUAGAUAUUGUUUCAAAAAGGGAUAUGGCAGCAGAAAUGAGACAAAAAAAGCAGUUCACUUUUUUUUUUUUUUUUUUUUUUGCAGUGGAGAGGGCAUGUUUAAAAGCCUAGACGCAUAGGGUUACAGAUAUAAUCUUGAUAUUGAUAAAAGAUAUAGGAUAAAAUUGCUAAAGUGAGACAACUCUCCCUUCUACCUUCCUCCAUCACACUACAUCCCAUCUCUCUAAUACUGUGUCUAGGAUAGGAAAUAAAGUACGUAGAGGGUAAAAGAUGAGAUAGUAGAUACUUUUUACUUCUAGGUAAAUUGUUAUACUCUCGGCACUAUGGACUGUGCCUGGCAAGGCAGCAGCAAUUCCAUAUAAAUGUACGCAGAUUAAGAUGUGAAGAACUGGCAUGGUGACUCGUGUCUGUAACCCCACCACUUCGGGAGGCCAAGGCAGGAGGAUCACUUCAGCUCAUGAGUUCAAGACCAGCCUGGGCAACAAAGUGAGACCCUGUCUCAUAAAGAAUAUAUUUAAAAAAGUUAGUCAGGCACAGUGGCACACACCUGUAGUACCAGCUACUUGGAAGCUGAGGUGAGAGGAUCGUUUGAGCCCAGGAGUUCGAGGUUGCACUGAGCUAUGUUGUAUGACUGAACCACUACACUCUAGCCUGAGUAACAGACUGAUGUCCUGUUUUUUUUGUUUGUUUGUUUUAUAAAAAUAAAAAAGAGCAGAAGGAACUUGUACUUCCUUCUUUAUAGAGUUUUGGGUAGACAAUCUAUCUAAAUUUAUGUCUAUAUACCUAGAUGUAGAUAUAAUACAAAAUGAAUGCAUGAUGAGGUGAUGGCUCAUAAUGUGGCCUUAGAUGGUCCUAAUAUACCAGGAGUAUCAUGAUUUACAUUAAUAGAAUAAGUAGAAUUAAUAGUAAGAGCUACGCAAUCUAAGAGUAGAAGAGACACCAAGGACAAUUAAGGAUCUGAUGUUAUGUUGGUGCAAAAGUAAUUGUGGGGUUACUAAUUACUAUUAAUAGCAAAAACCACAAUUACUUUUGCACCAACCUAAUAGAACUGUGGUCUAUGAAUUGAUACAGUGUAAAUCCCUGGAAAAUUAAACAGGAUCUUGGAAAAAGGCUAGAUAUAAACUAACUGAGAUUAUAUACUAUCAUUUUAGUGGAAUAAAGAUGUUUGUAUAAAUUCACUUUUGUACACUGGAGUUUGUAACUGAAAUUCAUACUAUGUAUGUAUCACCUGAUUUAACUCUCUAAUACAGCUACAAAGUGUCCAUUUAACAGAUGGAAAAAAAUAGAUUAGAAAGGAAGCUAAUCAUUUGAAUUCACAUAGUUAAGAUGUGACAGACCCAGGAUACAGAAAGAUUUAUCUUACCUAAAGUUAGCAAUAUUUUCUGUUGUUUUGUUUCUGUCCACUGUAAAAUUAUCUAUAUAUCAAAAACGUACAAAUGUAGGUUGAUGUAAUGCUUUCAUUCUUCAAAGCACAUGUUUUUAUUCUUUGAAGAACCUGGGCAUAUAUACACCAUAUCUAUAU
rnacentral:lncRNA from 10 species